UGGCUACUUAGAACAUUUCUGGAUUAGUCUAAGUUAGGAUGGUCCAGCUGUGUUUCCUCUGCUUCCAACUGUCCUUCUUCCUGUGUGCUGGCAGAAGGAACGUCAUGUGGACCAUCAGCAGAGAUCAAUCCAUUUGACUCUUCUUGAUUCUCACCAGUACUGCUCUCUUCAACUGUCACGUCAUUUUCUAGGGACUGGCUAUUACUCAAUAGCUUUGCCUGCCUUCUUUCCAAGGCCAGUUGUUUAUUUCUCUCAAUUCUCUGCUGCUGCUCUUCUGUUAGGUUUCUACUCGCUUCAGAAGCAAACCUCUUGCUGUCAGAUGAACUUGUCACAAAGGCAUCAAAUCCAGUGGCAGCUGCAUCAAGGCUGUUAGUUUCCUCAACUUCAUCGUUAUUGUUAACAAAAUCUUCAUGUACAAUAGGCAGAUCAAGUCGAAUUCGUUUUAAACAGGUCUGAACCUCCUUUUUAUUUCCUAGGUUUUCAACUCUGUCAAUAAAAUCUUCAAAUUGCAGUUUGGGGAAUAGCCUAUGCGCCCAGUGCUCCAUGUGUCUGAUUAGCGUUUUCAAGUCUUCAGCCUCAUGACCUUUCCCCUUGAAUUUUGUCUUAUCAAAUACAUGCCUUAAGGCUGGAAGCCCUCUCUCUGAAGUCAAUCUUGUAGCAUCUAGCUUGGGUAUAUUCCUUUUAACUAUUCUCUUUGGCGGAACAGGAACAGGUGCUCCACUCCCUUCAUCAGCUUCAGCUUCUGCAGGAUCUCUCUCUGGAGAGCCCGGAGGUGGGAAGGGAGGAAAAGUUUCAUCCUCUACAUGUUCAUAAUCUGGUAUUUCAAACAAGCCAUUUUCUUCUUGCUCCAACAUUUUUUCCUCACCCAAACGGCGGCC
rnacentral:lncRNA from 1 species